rnacentral:rRNA from 1 species
UGGGGAAUUUUGGACAAUGGGCGCAAGCCUGAUCCAGCAAUGCCGCGUGCAGGAUGAAGGCCUUCGGGUUGUAAACUGCUUUUGUACGGAGCGAAAAGGUCUGCCCUAAUACGGUGGGCUCAUGACGGUACCGUAAGAAUAAGCACCGGCUAACUACGUGCCAGCAGCCGCGGUAAUACGUAGGGUGCGAGCGUUAAUCGGAAUUACUGGGCGUAAAGCGUGCGCAGGCGGUUAUAUAAGACAGGUGUGAAAUCCCCGGGCUCAACCUGGGACCUGCAUUUGUGACUGUAUAGCUAGAGUACGGUAGAGGGGGAUGGAAUUCCGCGUGUAGCAGUGAAAUGCGUAGAUAUGCGGAGGAACACCGAUGGCGAAGGCAAUCCCCUGGACCUGUACUGACGCUCAUGCACGAAAGUGUGGGGAGCAAACA